GGAUGUGAGGGUGAUCUGGCUGCGACAUCUGUCACCCCAUUGAUCACCUGGGUUGAUUUGGCUGAUCUGGCUGGCUAGGUGGGUGUCCCCUUCCUCCCUUACCACUCCACGUGAGUCCCUCCCGAAGCUGCACGCUCUGUAUCGAAGAGGAAGACCUUCCCGGAUAGAGGAGGACAGUUCUUCAGUCAAGGGUAUAGAGUAGCUGCACUCCCCUGCUAGAACCUCCAAACAAGCUCUCAAAAAUAAAUAUUAAUGAUAAGGAUAUCACUAUCUUGGAAAUGUCUAAAAGCAGAAGCUAGUGAGUCAAGGUCAGAAAAUGUGAUCAGGUUAUUC
rnacentral:snRNA from 1 species